rnacentral:rRNA from 1 species
CAGCAGCCGCGGUAAAACAGAGGGUGCGAGCGUUAAUCGGAUUUACUGGGCGUAAAGCGUGCGUAGGCGGCUUCUUAAGUCGGAUGUGAAAUCCCUGAGCUUAACUUAGGAAUUGCAUUCGAUACUGGGAAGCUAGAGUAUGGGAGAGGAUGGUAGAAUUCCAGGUGUAGCGAUGAAAUGCGUAGAGAUCUGGAGGAAUACCGAUGGCGAAGGCAGCCAUCUGGCCUAAUACUGACGCUGAGGUACGAAAGCAUGGGGAGCAAACAGGAUUAGAUACCCGUGUAGUCCCUGUCUCUUAUAC